rnacentral:rRNA from 11 species
UCUGUAAGCCGUCGAAGGUGGACUGUGAGGUCUGCUGGAGGUAUCAGAAGUGCGAAUGCUGACAUAAGUAACGAUAAAGCGGGUGAAAAGCCCGCUCGCCGGAAGACCAAGGGUUCCUGUCCAACGUUAAUCGGGGCAGGGUGAGUCGACCCCUAAGGCGAGGCCGAAAGGCGUAGUCGAUGGGAAACAGGUUAAUAUUCCUGUACUUGGUGUUACUGCGAAGGGGGGACGGAGAAGGCUAUAUCAGCCGGGCGACGGUUGUCCCGGUUUAAGCGUGUAGGCGGAGGGUCCAGGUAAAUCCG